AUGCAAGCCGAUUCCCACACAUUAAAUAAAAGAGUACAAAUAGUAAUGAGGAAAUAAAUAGAGCUAGGUUAAUUCAAGGGCGUUGAAAGAAUUGCUAGACUCUUCUAGAAUAAGUAUCAUCCCUUAGCAUCUUUCAACAUGGGCUUGCAUAAAAUAUUCUUUAUUUCUUCUUCUUUUUCCUUUUCUUCUGCUCUUGUUAUUCUUCCUCCUCUCCAGUUGCAAUCUCUCCAUUUUCCCAAAGUUGGGCUUGAUUAUCUUACACGUGUCUUCUUAUUAAUUUAAGGGAUAAGACUUGCUUAGUUAACUUAAACCUUUAAUCAAGGUUAAUAAUUCUCUCUCCUCCCCUUUCUCUAUCCUCGGUUGCGAGAUAAAGAGAGAAACAAGAUGCAAAGAUCUUGUGUAGAAUGGAACAAGUAUAGCUAAACAAGAUAUAUAUUGCAUGCUUGUCUUUACUGGUAAGUUUUUCUAUGGUCUUAUUUCUAUUUAAAUGCACCUUGUUAUUGUUAAUGAGAUUUUAAUGGGUAUCUGAUACUUCCUCUGUUCUGUUGGAAUUUUCGCUUGAUUUUCACACUCAUGGCGUUAAUUGUAUCAGAUUUGCACACUUAUGCACAGAGAGUGUUUGAUAAUAUGCCAAAGCCACUGAUUUUCUUAAAGUUUUUCUCAUUUGCUCGCCUUCUCUUAGAUUUUUGUUUUUCUUUCUUCUUAAAUAUAAUUUCUUACAGAAAUAUGAGAAGCUGAAAUUAAAACCUCUGCAUGAUAAUCUUCAAAGCGCCUGGUAUUAGAGAUUACUUUUGGUAGUUAUAGCUAUAAGUUUAUUAGUGCACAUUGAUAUGUAGUAAGAUUUCUCCAUGAAAUUAGUUGUUUCCUCUAUAUACGCUUUUUAUGUAUUCUGGCUUACGUACCUUUGUACAACAUCAGGUUCAUAUAAAUGACUUUUAGUACUACCGCACUGUGCAAAUUCAAGGUGUUUGAUCAUAUGAGUGAAACCACUAACUAUGUUUUAUUUAUAUUUUUUUCAACAUAUUCUCCCCAACAUUCUGAUCUAUCAUUCAACAACUCAAAUGCUACAUUGUUAACUUCUUAUUAGUUGUAUCAUAUGUUUUACAUAUAUGCCGUUUGUUGCCAUUUGCAUUUCCAUUAGAAUAUGUCUACUAUUUACCUAACUUUAUUUGUGUUAACAAGAGAAUAAAUAUACCAUAUUGUUUUUUGGAUUUAUACCAACUUACAGAUAUUAAUUUUGUAAAAUUGUAAACUACUUGCAAUACUUACAACAUGUGUAUCCGGAAACAAGGAUACUAUGGAUUUGCUGUGUAGACCUUAAACGAUUGAGGAACAUUGAAUUGUUAAUAGAAAUUUGUAACGUCGCAGUAGAUAUGCACAAAUGUAUCUCGGGAGAAAAUAAUUAUUUUUGUCCCAAUUAACUACGAAUUAAAAGAGUUGGAUAAAAAAGGCAAACACUCUAUCAUUAUUCAAGUAAUACACUCCCCUGAUGUAUAAAUCGGGUAGGAGGCUUUGGGUUUGAGAUCCAAAUUUAAUAGCAAUAGUAUACAUUCAAGUGGAAGUGGUAGAGAGGCGGGCUGAGAUGUCAAGCUGAAAAAUAGUGAAUUUUUCAGGUUAUCAAAAGAUUUAAAUGGUAAGCUUUAAAAGUUAUUUCGGUGUUUAAAUCAUAUUAAACUUUUUGCUAUAGUGUUGUGGAACUUGAGACUGGUUUGAUUAUUGACUCCAUAUUGUGAAGCAAAUAGAGAAUCUGCCACAGUUCCCCUGUCUUUAUUGUUGUACUUCAAUACUCACUUACAUGCUUCAUAUUGUUGGAGAAAUUUUGUUUAGCUAAUACUCUAUUUUGGUUUUAUAAGAAAUGUGUUAGUCUGGCAUAGCGAAGUUAAGGUCCUUUCUUUAUGGCACUUUAAAUAUUCUAUGACGAGAUAAGGAGUCUUUACAGGAUAUAUCAAACAACUUUUGUUGUGCAUACUUGCUAGGCCAUAAUUGUUAGUAUAACAAUUGAGAAAGUCAAAGGAAGAUGUUACAUGUGAAAUGCCUUACUUCCAUGAGCAAACAAAAAGAUUGUAAAGUGAAAGAAAGAAGUAUGCAUAAAGUUUAUGUGAACUGUAACUCUUUAAGUACUACUUUCUGUCGAUGUAUCUCUUCUCAUGUUACUGCAACUUUCAGAUUGAUAAAGUUAUGUGUGCCUUUAGCUUUGACUAGAUUUUUGUGUUAUUCAUGCGAUACAACUUCUCUUCUUUCCUCUAAUGCUUGAAUUUUUCUUUCUUUCUUUCAUUUUCAUUUUUGCCUAUGCAGUUGUUUACCAAAUUAUUUUGAUAUAUCUUUAUACAAUGGAAAACAAGAUUCUUAAGGGGUUUUACACAGUCCAGGCAUUGUGGGGAGCCAAAUUAGAUUAAAUUGAAGAAUUCUCAAAUGCGCUAAAAACUUUGGAUCCAAAAUUGUACAUAUAUGUCAAUUUGAUGAAUUCAAUCAAUUAUCAGUUGGAUCAAAAGGUACGAAAGAGUCGAAGACGAAGAGAAGGAAGAGCUGGAAACGAGAAUUCACUGUUCCAUUGAAAAAAUGAAAUCCAAUUGUACACAACUAACCGAUUAACUACUAUUUAUACUAACUGACUUCUAACUCAACCAUAGUUACUAUUAUGUACCCUAGUUAGCUAACUAUGAUUUAAAUAACAAACUAACUACCACUAACUACUUUGCCCCGUAUCAGUACAUUCCUCAACACCCCCAUCAAGCUAGGUCUAAUGAAAAUGUUCUUUAGGCCUAGCUUGGAUAGCAAGUGAUCAUGUUGAAGACAACCCAAUCCCUUUGUCAAGAGAUCAGCAGGCUGAUCCACAGAAGGCAAAUACACAGUCUCUACUAGCCCAUGUUGCACCUUCUCACGGAUGAAAUGACAAUCCAUAUCAAUAUGUUUAGUUCUUUAGUGAAAAAUUAGGUUAGCAGUAAUUUGCAUAGCUGAUUUACUGUCACAAUAAAGUGGAACUGGCAGAGUGAGAGAGACCCCCAAUUCACUGAACAAACCAACUAACCACACAAUCUCUGCCACUGUUGAGGCCAAACUCCUGUACUCAGCCUCAAUUGCGAGAAAUAGUAUUUUGCUUCUUGGAUUUCCAAGAAAUGAGAGAAUCACUAAGUGUAACCAGAUAACCAGUUACAGACCUCCUGGUAUUUGGGCAAUAGGCCCAAUUAGCAUCACAGUAGGCUUGCUACUUGGUAGAGCCUGUAGAUGACAUAAGGAUCCCUAGACCAGGAUUCUUCUUCAAGUACCUGAUCACUCUUAAUGCAGCUUCUAAGUGUGAGGUCUUAGGAGCAUGCAUGAACUGGCUCAAACAUUGCACUGCAAAAGAGAUGUCCGGCCUAGUAAUAGUCAAGUAGAGCAACCUACCAAUCAAUCUCUGGUAGGCUCUAGGAUAUGGGAGCAAAGAAUCAUUGUCAAUACCAAAUUGAUGAUCAAAAUAAGUUGUGGUUAACUUCUGUUUCACCUCAACAGGAGCCCCUACAGGUUUUGCCCCUGCCAAACCACAUCAGAGAUAAGUUCAAGGGAAUAUUUCCUCUGAUGCAACAGAAUGCCUUCCUUACUCCUCGCAAACUCAAUUCCCAAAAAAUAUUUUAGCUCCCCCAAAUCUUUAUUUUGAAACUUUGAUGAAGUAUGUCUUUAGUGUGUAAUAUAAGUGCAACAUCAUCUCCAUUAAUGAGUAAGUCAUCCACGUAUACUAGAAUGAUGACUAUUCUCCUAUUAAGAUGUUUGGUGAACAAAGAAUAAUCAAGGUGACUUUGUUUGAAACCUGACUGAAGAAGAGCUGUGGUUAACUUGAUGUUCCAUUGAUGCGAGGCCUGUUUAAGCCCAUAAAGGGACUUGUGCAGUCGACAAACUUGUGCUUUACCUGCUGAAUGUGAGAAUCCCUGAGGCAGAUGCAUAUAUACUUCUUCUUCCAAAUCACCUUGCAGGAAAGCAUUGUACACGUCCAUUUGGUGCAAGACCCAACCUUUUGCAGUUGCAAUAGCAAUCACAGACCUAACUGUGACCAUUUUCACUACAGGUGAAAAUGUUUCGUGAGAAUCCAAGGCUUCCUUAUGGCUAUAUCCUUUAGCCACCAAUUGAGCCUUGAAUCUUUUUAUAUCUCCAGAAGCUGUAUACUUGAUCUUAUAGACCCAUUUACAACCAAUUGCCUUCUUUCCAUGAGGUAAUGUCACAACUUCCCAGUGUGAUUGUCUUCUAAAGCUUGAAUCUCUGCCUUCAUGGCCUCAACCCAUCCUUAGCUGCUUCAUAAUAGGAUGUAGGUUCAGUUUCUGAAGAAACCUUGGUAACAUAAGCUUGAUAUUUGGCUGAGAGACCACCAUAAUGCGUGACAUCACGGAUUGGGUAUAAGCAAUGAUGUGUUGAACUGGACCCUCUUUGAGGUCUAAUGUAAUCCUUAAGCCAAAUGGGAGGUCUGAUGGUCCUGCCAGACUUCCUCAAAUCACAAGCAAAAGGUGCCUCAUUUUGUACCAAAGCAUGGUUGUCAAUAACUGGUGUCUGUAUCUCUGAAGCAGGAAGGGAAGCCUCAUCUACACUGCUGGGAAUAGAAAAUGUAGGAUCAGAUGAUGUGUCAUGCAUCUCAUGUAUAGGUGUACUGUCUCCUGUAAUAACAUGAUCGGUCUCAAGAGAACUAUCACCUCUACUACUAACAAGUGACAACAUGCAAUCGGUGUUGGUUAUAGAAGUUGUCUGAGGGAAUGCUCUUUACUGUUGAAAGGGAUAUACAUCUUCAUGGAAAACUACAUCCCUGCUCACAAAGAUGGACCUUUGCUCAAUGUUGUAUAACUUGUAUCCUUUUUGUGUAGGAGCAUGUCCCAGAAAUACUGAUCUUAUUGCUCGAGGACCAAAUUUAUCUCCCCUCACUAGAUUAGUGGCAAAACAUAAACAUCCUAGAACUCUCAUGUGAGAUAUAGAAGCUUGUCUGCCAAACAACACUUCAAAUGGUGAUUUGUUGUUUAGAACAAUGAAGGGUAUCCUGUUGAUGAUGUAUACUGCUGCAUCCACACAUUCCCCCCAGAAAUGAAUAGGCAAGUGACCCUGAAACCUUAUGGCCCUUGCUGUCUCCAAGAUAUGCCUGUGCCUUCUUUCCACCAUCCCAUUCUGUUGUGGGGUGUAUGGACAAGAACUUUGAUGCAUAAUUCCAUGUGCUGAAAAUAGUUCAUUGCAAUUCUGAUUAAAAAAUUCCGUGCCAUUAUCAGACCUGAAGCAUUUUAUCAUCUUGCCAAAUUGUGUUCUUACCAUAAUAAUGAAGUGUUUGAGUACUGUAAUUACAUCAGAUUUAAGAUGCAAUAGAAAAACUCCAGUCCAUGUAGAACAAUCAUCUACAAUUGUGAGAAAAAAUUUCUUCCCAUUAUGAGUUAAGACUUUGUAAGGCCCCCGUACAUCCAUAUGCAACAAAUCAAAACAGUCUGCUGCUCUACUAGUACUUAUAGGAAAUGGAAUUCUAGCUUGCCUUGUCAAUGGACAAAUAUCACAAUGGCUUAUUCCAGUACUAUUACUACAAUUGAAACUAGGCAACUUCGUAAUGAUUGAGAUUGGAACAUGCCCCAACCUCCUAUGCCACAACUCAGUUUCAUCUCGUACUACUGUGAAUGACUUAACUGGAUCCUUUAGUCUUCCAUGUGUAUGAAGCACAUAAAGUCCCUCUUCCUUCUUAUCAAUCUCCUUUACCUUCCCAGUAAAGAGAUCCUGUAAAAUACAGAAUUCAGGAUAAAAGGCAGCACAACACUUAAGAGCCUUUGUCAGUUGAGACACAGACAAUAGGUUAAACUUGAAUGCUGGCACACAUAAAACACCUGUAAUAGUUUCUCCUCCAUUCAGUUGACAACUUCCAACAUGAGAUACCUUAGCUGAAUCACCUGUUGGAAGCUGUACACUGCUUGCAUUUCCUGUUGUCACUGUAUCAUGCAAAGUAUUUUGGUUACCAACCAUGUGAUUAGUGGCCCCAGUAUCUACAAUCCAUUUUUCAUUAGACUGCUGAACAUAUGAAACGUUACCUGCUAUAUGUGCACUAGCAGGAGCUUCUGAGACGUGUUUUGUUUAGCAUAGUAAGGAUCUGGUGAUACUGCUCAGGUGUAAACACAGGUGCAAGGGCAUAUUGUUGUUGCCCUAACUGUUGUUGUCCUUGUCCAAGGCCUUGUUGACCAUAAUUUUGUGGUUUAAAUGACAUUCCAUCGGAUGAAAUAUGAGCAUUAUGGCUUGAAAGACUACUAGUCAUGUUUACUUUCCUCUUUGACUUAAAAUCCAUAGGGUAGCCAUUCAACUUGUAACAAUUCGCCUUUAGGUUCCCUUUCAUGUUGCAAUAUUCACACCUCAUCAACUUGUAGCAACCAUUCCUUGUGUGCCCUUUCAUGUUACAAUAAUCACACUCCAAAUUGUAAUUUUUCUUCAUCUUUUGUCCCAUCUUUGAUGUAUCCAAGGUUGUGGGAUCUGAAGAAUCAGAGAUAUGAACUAUUACCAGCUACAAUUUUUUGACUUUCAUCUUGUUGAAUCAUUGCUUAAGCUUGAUUAACAGCGGACAUUUUAGACUUCAUGAGAAUUUGACUGCGUGCUUGACUGUAAUUAUCAUUAAGUCCCAUUAGAAAUUGCGACAAUCGCUGAUAUUGUUGAUGAUCAAAAUUUUUUUUAGACUUAUCACAGCAAGUUGGGGGUGGCAUUAUUGAAUCGUAUUCAUCCCAAAGGUCCUUCAGUUUAGAGUAAUACACAGACACAAUAGACGUUCCUUGAGUCAAUGUAAAAAUCUCUGUGUGAAGAUAAUACAUGCGUGAAGCAUUCACCUUGUCAAAGCGCUCACGCAGGUCAGCCCAGAUUGCACAUGCAUUUGAGCGAAACAGAACACCGCUUAACAGAUCGCGACUUACAUUAUGCAUAAUACAGGAUUUUAGUAUAGCAUUACAACGGUCCCAUAUGUUAGCAUACUUAUCUCUAUAGGUGUCGCGUGUAUUAGCUCCAUCAAUAAAUCCCAAUUUAUUGCGAGUCAAUAGCGAAACCUCCAUAGCUUGACUCCACAAUGUGUAAUUUUCCAUUCCAAUCAACUAGAAACCCAAUGACAAUGCUCCAGGUGUGUCGGAUGGAUGCAAAUAGAGAGGAUGAUUGUGAUCAAUCACAACCGAGCUUUGAUCAGUGACUUCAUCAACCGCCAUUGGAGAAAAUUAGGGUUUUGAGCAAAAACAAAACAGAGGUUCGAUGAAUCUCUCGUUCUUCAACAAAAUCACAGUGAAGAACCCUAGAUUCAAUCGAUUAUCUACUCUGAUACCAUGCAAUUUGAUGAAUUCAAUCAAUUAUCAGUUGAAUCAAAAGGUACGAAAGAGUCGAAGACGAAGAGAAGGAAGAGCUGGAAACGAGAAUUCACUGAGCACCUAAUUUUUGACUAUAUUUAAAAUUUUUAUCACUUUUUUUAGUGUUUAAAUAGUUUUA
rnacentral:lncRNA from 1 species